GAUGAAGAACGUAGCGAAAUGCGAUAAGUAAUGUGAAUUGCAGAAUUCAGUGAAUCAUCGAAUCUUUGAACGCACCUUGCACCCUUUUGUAUUCCGAAGGGUAUGCUCGUUUGAGUGUCAUUGUACUCUCACACUUCUAAUUCCUUUCGGGAUUGGGAGCGGUGGACUUGGGUGUUGCUGCUUUAGUUGUGGCUCACCUCAAAUAAGUUAGUGCAACUCUUGGUUGGACAUAGUACGGCGUGAUAAGUGUCUUCGCCGGCGCCUCUGUAAGGAGGGUGGCCGAUCGGGAGCUCUGUGCUUCAAACCGUCUUCGGACAAUCUUUGACAACUUGACCUCAAAUCGAGUAGGACUACCCGCUGAACUUAAGCAUAUCAAUAAGCGGAGGA
rnacentral:misc_RNA from 1 species